AUGGGGAGCGGCGGGUUGUUGUUGCCGACCGUGGUGAUGCUGUUGCUCAACGUGUUGUCGGCGGUGAUGGUGGCGCUGGUCAAGGUGGCCAUGGCCGGCGGCCUCGACCCGCUCGUGCUCGUCACGCUGCAGCAGCUCGCCGCCGCCAUCUUCCUCGGCCCCAUCGCGCACUUCACAGAGGGCAAGUCGAGGCCCAAGAUGACGCUCGAGAUCUUCGCCUACCUCUUCGUCAGCGCCGCGCUCGGGGCGGCGAUGAGGCAGUACAUGGUCUUCGUGGGGCUGCGCUACACCACGGCGACCUUCGUCAGCGCCUUCUCCAACAUCGCGCCCGUGCUCACCUUCGUGCUCGCCGUCGCCACCCGCUCCGAGUCGCUCCACCUCAGGGCCGCCACCGGUGCCGCCAAGCUCGCCGGCACGCUCGUCUCGCUCGCCGGCGCCAUGCUGCUCACCUUCUACAGAGGCGUGGCCCUCACCCACCCCAACAGCGCCCACCAGCUCCACCGCUCCCCUUCAUCCCCGCCGUCGCCAGGAGCGGACUCCGGCAGGCAGUGGACGCUGGGCACGGUGGCGAUCCUCGGCAACUGCGUCUGCCUCGCCUGCUGGUACCUGCUCCAGGGCAGGAUCGCCAGGAAGUACCCCUACGUCUACUCCUGCAACGCCUUCCUGUCCACCUUCAGCUUCCUCCAGGUCGCUGUCGUCGGCCUCUGCGUGAAGCGCAACCUCGCCGCCUGGAUCAUCACCAACAGGUUCCAGAUCCUCACGAUCCUCUACUCCGGCGUGGUGGCGACGGGCGUGUCCUUCGUGCUGCUGACGUGGUGCAUCCAGAAGCGGGGGGCUGUGUUCGUCGCCGCCUUCGUCCCGGUGUCGCAGGUCAUCGUCUGCAUCAUGGACGUCACCGUCCUGCAUGAACCGCUCUACCUUGGAAGUGUGGUGGGAUCUGUGAUUGUGAUAGGUGGCCUGUAUCUUCUGCUGUGGGGCAAGAGGCAGGAGGCCUUGCAGCAGCAGCCAGAAGUUGCUAAAGAUGACCAAGAACAGCAGCAGCAGCAGCGGCAGCAAGUGCAGUCGCAGCCAUGA
rnacentral:rRNA from 1 species